rnacentral:misc_RNA from 1 species
AACCGCCGUAUGCAAAAGCGCACAUACGGUGGCGUGGGAGGGUGGCGGAGGUGAGCCCACCUCCUCCUAU